rnacentral:rRNA from 1 species
CCUACGGGUGGCAGCAGUGAGGAAUAUUGGUCAAUGGACGAGAGUCUGAACCAGCCAAGUAGCGUGAAGGAUGACUGCCCUAUGGGUUGUAAACUUCUUUUAUAUGGGAAUAAAAUGUUCCACGUGUGGGAUUUUGUACGUACCAUAUGAAUAAGGAUCGGCUAACUCCGUGCCAGCAGCCGCGGUAAUACGGAGGAUCCGAGCGUUAUCCGGAUUUAUUGGGUUUAAAGGGAGCGUAGGUGGAUUGUUAAGUCAGUUGUGAAAGUUUGCGGCUCAACCGUAAAAUUGCAGUUGAAACUGGCAGUCUUGAGUACAGUAGAGGUGGGCGGAAUUCGUGGUGUAGCGGUGAAAUGCUUAGAUAUCACGAAGAACUCCGAUUGCGAAGGCAGUUCACUGGACUGCAACUGACACUGAGGCUCGAAAGUGUGGGUAUCAAACAGGAUUAGAUACCCUUGUAGUC